AACGAACGCUGGCGGCAUGCCUAACACAUGCAAGUCGAACGAGACCUUCGGGUCUAGUGGCGCACGGGUGCUUAACGCGUGGUAACCUGCCCUUAGGUUCGGAAUAACUCCCCGAAAGGGGUUCUACUACCUGAUAAUGUCUUCGGACCAAAGAUUUAUCUCCUUUGGAUGGGCCCGCGUUUGAUUAGCUAGUUGGUAGGGUAAAAGCCUACCAAGGCGACGAUCCAUAGCUGGUCUGAGAGGAUGAUCAGCCACACUGGGACUGAGACACGGCCCAGACUACUACGGGAGGCAGCAGUGGGGAAUAUUGGACAAUGGGCGAAAGCCUGAUCCAGCAAUGCCGCGUGAGUGAUGAAGGCCUUAGGGUUGUAAAGCUCUUUUAGCCGGGAUGAUAAUGACAGUACCGGGAGAAUAAGCUCCGGCUAACUCCGUG
rnacentral:rRNA from 1 species